rnacentral:rRNA from 1 species
AUGUCCUGUUCAUCUGACCGCAGGCAGAUGAAGGCCGUCGAAGAUCACAAGCGCAGCUUGCUAUUGUACAGUUGUGGUGUGAUUUUUACAGAAACAAGUGAUCCAGGCAGCAAGCGUCGCCGAUCGCACGUUCCGUGGCGGCGCGUGAUCCAAAAACUGCCAGCGAUCCAGAAACGUGGCGGCGACAGUCGUUCCGCGGCGGCGGUGCUGUGGAGUGCGCAGAUCGCACGACGGCUGCGCAGAUCUGAUCGGCAGCGGGGUAUGGGGAUUGGCGGCGGGGUAUGGGGCAUGGGGAUCCUGAUGGGCGGCAGGGCGCAGUUUCUUUGGCUACCUGCGUGGGUGGGGUUCGAAACAAGUGAUCCAGGCAGCAAGAUUGAGCGAUCCAGAAACGUGGCGGCGGCACUGUCAAGUCGUUCCGCGGCGGCGGUGCUGUGGAGUGCGCAGAUCGCACGACGGCUGCGCAGAUCUGAUCGGCAGCGGGGUAUGGGGAUUGGCGGCGGGGUAUGGGGCAUGGGGAUCCUGAUGGGCGGCAGGGCGCAGUUUCUUUGGCUACCUGCAUGGGUGGGGUUCAGUGUGUGGGCGUGGGGGUGGGGCCACAGCUUCAAGAAUACGCGGAGGAGGUGGCCCGGGUCGGCGUCGGCGCCGUCCGGCACGGGCCACGGGCCCGCUUCCAAGCGCGUCUGCGCAUCGGCCACCCACGCCGUGUCCUUCAAGUGCCACUUCCACCGCACCAACUCCCAGGGUCACGGCCAUGGCCAGGGCCAGGGAAGCCGCUCUUCUUUGCCCCAUUCACCGGCCGCGGCCAACGCGAUGCCGCGGCACCCAGCCUCGCCGUCCUCGUCCUCCAGCACCGUUGCGACCCGGUGA